UACGUAGGGUGCAAGCGUUUGUCCGGAAUUAUUGGGCGUAAAGAGCUCGUAGGCGGUCUGUCGCGUCGGAUGUGAAAACCCAGGGCUCAACCCUGGGCCUGCAUUCGAUACGGGCAGACUAGAGUUCGGUAGGGGAGACUGGAAUUCCUGGUGUAGCGGUGAAAUGCGCAGAUAUCAGGAGGAACACCGGUGGCGAAGGCGGGUCUCUGGGCCGAAACUGACGCUGAGGAGCGAAAGCGUGGGGGAGCAAACAGG
rnacentral:rRNA from 1 species